UUUUAUUCCAUGGCUUCUUUUAAGCUAAUUCUAUUCAGAUGGCAGUGUGGCUAAGAAAUUAAUGCUUUAAUAGAUAAAUUAACAGACUCAGCUCUAUAGUUGUUUUUUAUUCUAUGACUUCCUUUAGCUACAGUUCUUUAUACUGGCUUAUUGCUGGGAUGGAUUUGGAAAAUAUGCUUAAUUUUCUGGAUUUAUGUUUAUGUUGCUUUAUACUGGCUUAUUGUUGGGAUGGAUUUGGAAAUUUCCUAAAGUAGUUAGUUCGAUGCCUAAAUUUUAGGUAAAACUUUUGUCAUUAUGUGGUUAAGACAGGUUCGGAUGAUCUCCCUUCUAGAAGUGCCUUUAUAAGUGUCAUCUUUCACAAAACUUGGAGCUUGGAUAUUGAAGGACCCUCAGAAUAAUUUUGGUGAGAAAUGUAAUCGCAAUUCAAAGUAACUGGAUUUUUCCUUUUGAGAUUUUUUUUUGGUUUGGAAUCAUCAUCUGCUUUGAUGUGUGUUGUUUGCAUGUUAACAUCAUAAGCAGAUUCAAUAAUUGUUCAUUUUAAAAUUUGCUGCCCAAGUAUGGAAGAAGGAUCCUCAGGAAGAUCUCUAACCUAGAUGAUAUUACACAAUUCUCUGCAAAUAGUUGGGUACUUGCAGAUUUUCUGGAAGAUCUAUUUUUAAUACGUGAAAUUUAUUUUAAGAUCUAUUUUUAAUACAUUGAAUUUAUCAACUGUUGACUUCCUCAAUUUCAGCACAUAUAUGUGUACAUUUUUCCUCUUUUUUAUAAGUAAAUCCAUAAUUUCUGCAUAUUUAUGUAAUUAUAAGUUCUGUAAUAUUGGGGCAUUGGAAAGUUCUGGAGGCACUUAAACUUAAUUACGCUUGUGAAUCAAUUUGGCAAGCAGAUUGCGUUAUUCAAAAGAAUGAUUUUCCUAUUAAAUAUCCUUUUGGCUAUCAUCAUCUGGCAUAAGUUGUGACGUAUUUAUUAUUUUAUUUUAUUUUUUUAACUUCUCCCCUCCUCCUCACGACCUCCUCAAAAAAAAAAGAAAAAAGAAAAAAGAAAACAGAGAAUAACGAGCUAGUCUUUAUUUCUCCCCUAGCAGCUAGUUCAGAUACAGAUAUGGUAAAUAUAGCAAGGCAUGGAACUUUUCCUUAGAAAUUGGUCAAAAUCGAGACCUAAUUAUUGACUUCUCAACUAGCCAACCAACUACAUUCUGCUUUCAGAUGGAAUGAUGCAGAUAUGUUGCUGAUCAGAAAUCUGUUAUGAGUUGCCUUACCAUCAAGUAUAAAAUGAAAGGGAAUGGUCCCAUUCUGUUAAUUUGUUUUGUUAGGAAAUGGCUUGCCGAGGUGCUGGUGUGGCAAUCCCCAUGUUCUCUGUUAGAUCAAAAGCUGAGCUAGGAGUUGGAGAGUUCCUGGAGUUGGAGAGUUCCUUGACCUGAAGUUAAUUGCAGACUGGGCUGUUGAAUCCAGAUUUCAUUUAGUUUAGCUGUUACCUAUCAAUGACACAUCCGUUCAUGGGAUAUGGUGGGACUCAUAUCCAUACAGGAAGUGGACUUUUCCUUCUGUAAACCAGUGAAUGUACCGGGCUGCAAACAAACGGACCUGAGGCAUGUAUCUGGCUGUUUUUGCUCACUAGGUUGCAAGAAGUGUGUACACUUGGCUCAGGCAUGAGUCUUUCCAAAAAUGU